rnacentral:rRNA from 1 species
AGAGUUUGAUCCUAGCUCAGGAUGAACGCUGGCGGCGUGGAUAAGGCAUGCAAGUCAAACGGACACUUUCGCAAGAUUGUGUUAGUGGCAGACGAGGUAGUAAUACGUAGGAACCUUCCCCCGAGUCAGGAAUAAUCCGUCGAAAGAUGGACUAAUACCUGAUAGUCUCUUAGGAGUAAAGUCGCAAGACGCUUGGGAUUGGGCCUGCGGGCUAUCAGCUAGUUGGUAGUGUAAUGGACUACCAAGGCUAUGACGGCUAGGGGAGCUGAGAGGCUGACCCCCACCGAUGGGACUGAGACACGGCCCAUACACCUACGGGUGGCUGCAGUCAAGAACCUUCCGCAAUGGACGAAAGUCUGACGGAGCGACGCCGCGUGAAGGAUGAAGUCCCUCUGGGACGUAAACUUCUUUUAUGAGGGAGAAAAUUUUGAUAGUACCUCAAGAAUAAGGGGUUGCUAAACUCGUGCCAGCAGCAGCGGUAAUACGAGUGCCCCAAGCGUUAUCCGGAAUCAUUGGGCGUAAAGGGUGUGUAGGUGGCGAUACUAGUCUUCUGUGAAAUUCUUCGGCUCAACCGGGGGUCCGCAGGGGAAACGGUAUUGCUCGAGGAUGCGAGGGGUCAGUGGAACUCAUGGAGUAGGGGUGAAAUCCGUUGAUAUCAUGGGGAACACCAAAAGCGAAGGCAACUGACUGGCGCAUUCCUGACACUGAAACACGAAAGCGUGGGUAGCGAACUGGAUUAGAUACCCAGGUAGUCCACGCCCUAAACGAUGUUCAUUAGCUUUGGGAGGUAUCGACCCCUUCCGAGGCGUAGCUAACGCGUUAAAUGAACCGCCUGGGUAGUACGGCCGCAAGGCUAAAACUCAAAGGAAUAGACGGGGACUUGCACAAGCAGUGGAUUAUGUGGUUUAAUUCGAUGACAAACGAAAAACCUUACCAAGGUUAGAAAUCUACGUGAAGACGAGCAGAAACGUUCGUCGUCCGCAAGGACUAGUAGACAGGUGAUGCAUGGCCGUCGUCAGUUCGUGAUUUGAAUUGUUCCCUUAAGUGGGGUAACGAACGCAACCCU